rnacentral:rRNA from 1 species
CGCGUAGGUGGCUCGUUAAGUUGGAUGUGAAAUCCUGAGGCUUAACCUCGGAACUGCAUUCGAUACUGCGGCGCUUGAGGACUGGAGAGGAGACUGGAAUUCAUGGUGUAGCAGUGAAAUGCGUAGAGAUCAUGAGGAAGACCAGUGGCGAAGGCGGGUCUCUGGACAGUUCCUGACACUGAGGCACGAAGGGCCAGGGGAGCAAACG